rnacentral:lncRNA from 1 species
ACACAAUGCCCGGGAAGCUCCAGGCACCUGAAGUCUCCUCGCCCUGCCUUGCUGCGCCCCUCACAAAGGCGUCCGAGGCGAAGAGCUGCCUCCGCGGAGUUUCCCGCCUCCCCGGCCUGCGGACCCGCGGCGGGGUCUCCUCUCUGAGGCGGCUCCGCGCAGGCCCCGCCCCCUUCGGCCAAGCAGGCGCGAGAGCGCAUCCAGGGCGGGCGCAGGCGAGCGGCGCGCGGAGGAGCAGCUGAGGCGCCUGUUCCGAGAGAGGAGGACGCCGCCGGGAGGAGUUUGCUCGUCGCCUCGCAGCCAGCCGGGGAAAGCCAGCCUUGAAGGGCAAGCGGGGAAGUCGCCACUGCCGCCGCCAGCCGAGCCACCUGCACGCCUGCCAGACGCCAUGGGUAAGAGAAGGGCUGCUUCGGCUCUUGCCUUGAAAACUGCCUUCCCCUCAACCCCUUUAGGCGGGUGUGAGGAGGGCGGGACCCAAACUUGAGUAAUUUUUGCAGCGGAGGGAACCUCAAACUCUUAAGCGCCCCUGCAUUUUACCCUCUGGAGAAGCCUCCUUUCCUCUUAUUGCAGAUACUGGCUGGGAUGGGAGAGGCACUCUGCACAUGCUCUUGUGCGCGCGGGUCUUUCUUUGGGGAGGCGGGAGAGAGGUGCUGAGCAUUGGGAAGAAGUUGGGAGAUGCUUUACCCUUUGAGAUCCUUGGGUCUUCCUCGGGAUGCUGAGAGGAGGGAAGGGGAAGCGACGAAAUGCAGUCGAGGAAGCCCUGAGAUACCAGGAAGGCUCCCUCUUCUCCCUUUAACUUUGCAGUAAGGUUAGAGCCCCGCUGGCUACAGAUCACCCUGCAGUGGAGUUUUGUCUGCUCUCUUAAAGCUUCUGACCAGACACAAAGCAGUGUGCAGGAGCAAGCUUAAGAUGCAUGCUUUGUUUUGGUACAUGACUUCAAAACUGUAACAUGACUUUAAAACGGCAAUACUGCCCUGCAUAUAGUUCAUGGACUCUCACACUCUUACUGUGUCCCUUUUUAAAAUUGUAACAAAUCAGAUCUAAUCUGCCUCUGGUGGGUUGGAGCUGGAUUUUGGAAAGGGAUGGUUAGAGGAAAGGCAUAAGCAAACAGUUUCACCUUUUUGAGAUCUUGGCCACGGUGUUCGCUUUUUUGAAUUAAGUGUGUCCACCCAGCCCAACUGAGAAUUUAUACUUGGCUAUAAGUCAUAAGUCCUGGCUUGUGUCUUCGUUUAGGGUUGUAUGACUUUAAAGCCUGCUUCAUUAAACACAAUCAAUAGAUAUAUUCUGAAAGUCAUGAACCGAGCGGGUGUCCUUGUGGGAAAGGUUUUGCCUGAUCUUUGUGCAAAUGACAACCCUCUCUACUUUACACCUCCUUUUACUUUACAUAUCCCUCCCUCCCCACAAAAAAGGCAUUUAACUACUUUUAAAGCUCUUUUGAGUUAUUGAAAUAACGAUGCACUGGAGUUCAGUCUUGAUGGCUAAAAGUAUAUGGCAAAGAUUUCACUAAUGCAUUCCAGCUGUAGACUGCUUAAAAAAAAAGUCUCAGGGAUUUAUUUUUUGGAUGAAGUUGUGAGAAUUAAGUACAGUAUCAGUUCUUUGUGACACGUGUAAUAAUUUUACAGUCAGCAUAAAUGUACUGAUGCACUCCUGAGACGCUGCUUUGCUUAUGUGGUCAUCAAAUAAAUAGGUAUAUAGUACAUAGCAUAUGGAAGGUGUAGUGACUGACUUGAAUUAAUUGCAGGAAGUCCUUAUUUAGUGAGGGCCCGUUGUUGCAGGGGGGUGGGCAGAGGUAGAGAAAGUUUGGCAUACUGAUCAGGAAGAGUAGGUAUAGAAAUUGUAGGUUAGAGAUAACACUAAAGUGGCAGGAAAAAUAGCCAAGAAUGUUUUCCCCCAUUGUGGUAGAGUAUAUUCACAGUGUAUUUUUUAUGACCAAAACUUCAUAGGUGUCCUAACAGGAUUUUAUGCAGAAAAAAAUAUUUAUUUAGGGAAGGUCUUUAACAAUGGCUGCUC